rnacentral:rRNA from 1 species
GACGAACGCUGGCGGCGUGCUUAACACAUGCAAGUCGAACGGGCCUUGUCCCCUUUUUUUUUUGGGGGUGGGGCUAGUGGCGAACGGGUGAGUAACACGUGAGUAACCUGCCCCUCACUUCUGGUUAACCGCUUGAAAGGGUGGCUAAUCCGGGGUGUUCUGGCCUGCUCGCGCGGGUGGGUUUGGAACGAUUCGACCGGUUUUGGUUGUUUUGGUGGGGGGUGGGUUGGCGGGCUAUCAGCGUGUUGGGGGGGCGAUGGCUUGCCAAGGCUUUGACGGGGAGCGGGCCUGAGAGGGUGGGCCGUCACUGGGAGACUGAGACGCGGCACAGACUCCUAGGGGAGGCAGCAGUGGAGAAUAGGGCACAAGGGGCGCAAGCCUGAUGCAGCGACGCCGCGUGAGGGAUGGAGGCCUGGGUGGUGUGAACCUCUUUCGGCAGUGAAAAAGGUCCUGCUCUUUGUGGUGGGGUUGACAGGAGAUGGGUUGAUGAAGCACCGGCUAACUACGUG